rnacentral:rRNA from 1 species
GCUAUCAGGCGUCGAGCGGCGGACGGGUGAGUAAUGCUUAGGAAACUGCCCAGUAGUGGGGGAUAGCCCGGGGAAACCCGGAUUAAUACCGCGUACGCCCUUCGGGGGAAAGCAGGGGAUCUUCGGACCUUGCGCUAUUGGAUGUGCCUAAGUCGGAUUAGCUAGUUGGUGGGGUAAAGGCCUACCAAGGCGACGAUCCGUAGCUGGUCUGAGAGGAUGAUCAGCCACAUCGGGACUGAGACACGGCCCGAACUCCUACGGGAGGCAGCAGUGGGGAAUAUUGGACAAUGGGGGCAACCCUGAUCCAGCCAUGCCGCGUGUGUGAAGAAGGCUUUCGGGUUGUAAAGCACUUUCAGUGAGGAGGAAAAGUUAGUCGUUAAUACCGGCUAGCCUUGACGUUACUCACAGAAGAAGCACCGGCUAACUCCGUGCCAGCAGCCGCGGUAAUACGGAGGGUGCAAGCGUUAAUCGGAAUUACUGGGCGUAAAGCGCGCGUAGGUGGUUUGAUAAGCGAGAUGUGAAAGCCCCGGGCUUAACCUGGGAACGGCAUUUCGAACUGUCAGGCUAGAGUGUGGUAGAGGGUAGUGGAAUUUCCUGUGUAGCGGUGAAAUGCGUAGAUAUAGGAAGGAACACCAGUGGCGAAGGCGGCUACCUGGACCAACACUGACACUGAGGUG